GCCUGGGUGGCUCAGUCGGUUAAGCAUCUGACUUCGGCUCAGGUCAUGAUCUCUUGGUCCGUGAGUUCAAGCCCCGCGUCGGGCU
rfam:Felis catus isolate Cinnamon breed Abyssinian chromosome X, whole genome shotgun sequence.